rnacentral:lncRNA from 1 species
UUCUGAGCUGCAAGAGCCCAGCUACUCGCCGAACCCGGGCCGCCUGCGUUCAAUCUUUGGGAUCAUCAGCAUGGAAUCUUCAUUAUCCCCUCUCUCCUGGGCACCUGCUUCCCGCGCACCUGGAUGAGGACCAGAGGAAUUCGCGAAUUUCCGAAUCACCGCAGGAAAAACCAGCUGGCCUGAAUCAAAGCAAUUCUGGGUAAAAGACUUCCCAGAUGAUCUCUCAACGCCUUGGCAACGCUUGGCGACUGGGAGCUAGAACCAUGAGUUGUUAAUGUGUGCACGGAAGCCACAAGUGUGCAGGACGCAAGCUGGGUUAUUGGAAGCGGACGACACCAAGGAGGCGUUGCCGCGGAUGUGGUGGACGAUGCCAAGUCGUCUUUUAAAAAAGGAAGUGAAGAAUGAUUAAGAGGGUCACGCCCUCUACCACUCCAACCUCUCUAAUCAGUCUCUUUCUGCUCCGUCUGCUGUACAUGCACCUGCUCAGGUGAGACCUCAAGGAAAAAUAAUCCUGUGGGUCCACCUAAUCUGGUAUCCCAACUGAAUCUUUGGCAUUAGGCUGGCUGAGGUCUUGUUGGAAUCUGGGGAUUCAGCCAGAGUCGGGUUGAGAACACUGACCUUACUGUCAAAACUACCCCAUUGGAGGGUAUGACCGGAAGGAGUUGUGACUGGAGUAACUGGAAUACUGAAUCCCUCUCAUUCCUAACUCUGGAGGUGUGCACACCAAGUGAUACCACCCUACAAGUGAGGGCACAAAAAGUGUGAUUCACAGCAUGGUUGGAAAGGUGGCCAGGCUGUCAGUCUUUCCUAGAGAGCUAAACCUUGAUAGCAGGACCCUCAUCCUAUGGUACUGACUCAAAAAGAAAAGGACUGACCUACAUAUGGUCUCUGGACUCAGGCACACGACCCAGAGUUCAGAAAAGCCUUCAAAUCCUAGCGGGAAACAAAGUGUUAGGCAAAGGGACAGGGCAGACUAUGGAGUGGAAGUCAGCAUUUCAGGAGAAAAUCAGGUCCUGUGCUUACAGGAUCAAUCACCAGGGCUUGGCCAUGGCAAAGCACUUCCUGGCAUCAUUGUGUAAGUACUCAGUCCUAUGUAGUAAUGGUAGAGGGCUAUAGACAAUGACAAGACCUGAUCCAGUUAAAGGGCAGAGGCUGCACAUUAGGAUUCCCCCAGGAGAUUUUAGGGUUAAGAAGUGUAUCACUGAAAUACUUCAUUCUGCUUGCUACUCUGCAGAAGAAUUGAUAGAAGAAUUAGGUAAAACAAAAAGUUGUUGAGACACAUUUGUUGUAAUAAUGGAAAUGUUAUUAUGUAGUAUCUUCAUUGUUCUUGAUGCCCUGUUUGUUUGUUGUUUGUUAUACUUUGGAAUAUAUGUUAUACUUUGUACUGUUUGUGAGUCCUAGGAUGUUUUCUCAAUUUCCAUUUUACUUUCUAGAAUUUAAUUUUAAAAUUUUGCACUAUUUAAAAACAUACAAUUUGUUUCUAAGGAAUUUGCCUUCUCUGCUUGUUUUUGCCAGGUUGUUUCCAAACACAUUAACUACUAUUGUGACAAUAAACACGAGUCAGAGUUGAAUAAAAAGAAUUCUUUUUAUCAUCAUCAUCAUCAUCAAUCACUGUCAUCACUAUACCAUGAUGUCUAUCAUAUUAAAAAUAAGAAGGCUUUCGUAGUCUACAGGAAGUAAUUUCAAUGUAGAUCAUAGCUUUAUAUUUUAUUUAAAAGUUCUUGGUAUUACUAAUAUGAAAAUUAUAUUUUAUUCAACCACCAGAGGGAGCUCUCAAAUAUAUGGAUUCUAAAAGGGAAGGAGUAAAGUAAUUAAGUAGGCAGCUUUGUAUGUUUUAUAGUUGAAAAUCAAAGAUUUCAUCAGCUGUGUGUCAUGGUUUUUGUGGGAUCACAUGUUGUGUCUUCGUACAUCAAGUGCUUAAAAUCUUGUCCUACUAUAGAUGCCACAUCAUUUUAAUUAACAGCUAUGAAAUAAUAAUCUUGUUUUUAUGUUUUUUUUUAAGUUUGAGUAAUUGUUUUAUUUUAACUUUAUAUUUUAAUUUUGGACAAUAUUGAUUGAUGCCAUGCUUUGCAAAUAUAAUUAUGCUUUCAGACCUCCUCUCUUAGGUCCCAGUUUUUCUUAAGUUGUGUUUUUAUAUUGUCCAAUUUAUAAAACUUAUAUUCUUUUUUAUAACCGUAAAUUCAAUGCUGAGACAUCUCCUUUUCAUAUUUCUUUGUUUUGAUGUAUUGCUUAACUUGCUAAAUUUUAUUGUCAAAUAGUUUAUUUGAGAAGGGUCUUUGGGUUCUAGAAUCCUUGAUAUCUUUCAUGUUUGAGAAUGACUACUUGUUGCUUUACACAUGUAUGACAAUAGAGUGGGUAUAAUAUUGUGAGGUCAUAUUUUCUUUCUCUCAUCUAUGAUUUAAUAUUCCCCCUAGGAAAAUCAAGUCUUCCAAUUUUUUUUCACUAAUAUUAUGUGGGUGUGGAAGGGGAAGGAAGGAAAUUAUCCAACUGUUUCCUGCAGGCAGAGCAAGUCCUUACAGAGCAGGCUGCCCUCAGUGAUGAUGAGUUUUGGAUCUCCCAGAACAUCCCACCUCUUAAAUGUGUAGCGUCUUGUAAGUAUCCUUCCCAAUCAAGUUUAUUCAUAGCUUACUGAGUUCUGUCUCUCCUUCUCUGUUAAAUGGCUUUAUUGAGAUAUAAUUCAUAAAUAAAAAAACUGCACGUUUGAUAUGUGCAGUUUGAUGUGUUUGGAUCUAUGUAUACAUUGGCAAUACUAUCACCACAAUCAAGAUAAUAAACAUAUCCAUCAUCUCCAAAAGUUUCCCUGUGUCUCCUCAACUCCAUACUUUUUUGUGUUAAAAGCACUUAGCAGGACGAUCUGGGGAGGAGCAGUCCCUGGGAUCACUGUGUUUAUCUGUUGUCUCUGUACCCCACUUUAAAGUGUCCGAAAGUUUUCUCACACAGUAAUGUAAUCAACCCCAUUUUGUGGCUGUGGAAAUUGUCAGGCACAAAGGUUAAGCAAAUUAGCCAAGGCCAUGAAGCAGAUGAGUGAGACACCUGGGAGUGGAUCCAGGACUCACAACUGCUCAGUUGAUAUAUUGCCUUCCAUUGCUUCACAAGGCUGCGAGCUGUCCUGCUUCUUCCCAACACACUUGACUGAAGUCAGGUAUUUAAGUUUCUAUAUCUAAGCUGAAGUCAACAGUAUUUCCAUAAGUAGGAUCUUGUCACAACAGAAAAAAUGAAUUAUAAGCAAUGAAUAGAGGUGAAAUAUAUUCAUUCAGAGUCAGUGUGAAUACAUUCCAUCUUUCUUCACUUCCUUUAACCUCUCAUUUUCUCCAGGCUGCUUACAAAUGUAUUCAAUGUGUUAACAAAAAAAUUUAAUAAAGACAUUGCCAGAAUAUCAGCAUUGGGAACAAAGAAAAAUACUUUCUAUUUGGUGUUAGCAUAACUGUGCAUUUUAACUAGGUGUAUAUCUCUCUGUGUAUAAUUAACAUGCUAUUUGUAAAUAAAGUCAAAUAUUAAAUAUAUGAAGUCACCAUUUUGAUUUAUGUUUUUCUACAAAGCACAACCACUCUCUAACAAAUAUGUAUCUGACAGAUUGAUCAAUUAUGGUCUCUACCAGGUCAAAUGAGCUCACUUCCCUUCAAACCUUACAAGCCUAAGCAAUAAUGUGGUCUCCCAGACACAAAGAGGAAACAGCAAGCUUCUCUACUCCAUCGUGAUUGUUUCCUGGGCAAGCGUGUUUCCCAGCUGCAAUCAUAGAUGCCCCAAAAUGAUGCCAGUGUCAGACCCUGCCGUGCUGUAGCUCCCUUCAGGGGACAUCUCAACUGCUAUUUUCCCUUCCCCUAGUCCUCCACUGAACCUGCCACACCUUCUAAGAAAACGAGGGUUGGCUCUGUGCUGAACUGCAGGGGCCCCACACACACUGUAACCUGCAGGAACAUAGAACAUAGGCAUUUGACUGCUGGCUCCUCAGCUUACCACAAGGGGCAGACACUGACUGAAUAGAGGUCCAAGAAAUAAAUUCCUAAGGAAAAGCAGGGAGAUACAAAAAUGCAAAAUAUAAAUGAAUAAAAUAAAUUUUAAAACAUGUAUUCUGGUGCCGCCUUUAAUAGUACAUUUCGUGAGAUGGAAUUUAUUUCACUUAUUUACAAAUAAACGACUCUUCAUUAUUGCUGAAGAUGUAUGAAUGUAAGAUUUAAAGCUAGAGUGAUUUAAAAUUUUUCUGCAGAAAACAACUUCUGGAUAGUGUUCUCUUUUUUACAUUUUGCAUUUCAAAUUCAAUAAUUCUAUGAAUAUGUUUCAUUCAAAUGUCCCAGCUUUGUUAUAAUCCCCCAAAUGAAUAAUGCAUUUCUUAGAAAGUAUCUUUUCCAAAGGAGAAAGCACUAUGAACAUUCAUUUUAACUUCCUUUACCAGUCAGUGAUUUUUAUCCUUCACUAUACAUUUUAAAAGACCUGACAAAGGUUCAUAAAACAUUGUUAUUCUUUAUCAGUGGAGCUACAUGCAAAAUUCAAAAUUCUCAAAUCUGUGGGAAAGAUUAUGAAGAAAUAUUACUACUGCUUAUCAAUCUGCACAGACUUGCCUAUGUUAUCCUAACAUUGUUUUUAGCAUGGUGAAGACAAGGAUAAACCAUGAAGCCUACCUGCUGGGAUCUGAAAUUUUGCUUCACCACUUCCUAUCUUGAGCAUGUUACUCAAUUUUUCUAUACCUCAGUUUUCUCAUGUCUAAAAUGGAGAUAAUAAUAUUGCCUCUGUUGUUAUGAAGACCAAAUGAGUUACUAAUAUAAAUU